rnacentral:tRNA from 3 species
GGGGGCAUAGCUCAGCUGGGAGAGCGCUACAAUCGCACUGUAGAGGUCGGGGGUUCGAAUCCCCCUGCCUCCACCC